CCGGGGGGAUUUUUUUGUUGGUUUCUAGGACCGCCGUAUGAUUAAUAGGGACAGUCGGGGGCAUCAGUAUUCAAUUGUCAGAGGUGAAAUUCUUGGAUUUAUUGAAGACUAACUACUGCGAAAGCAUUUGCCAAGGAUGUUUUCAUUAAUCAGGAACGAAAGUUAGGGGAUCGAAGACGAUCAGAUACCGUCGUAGUCUUAACCGUAAACUAUGCCGACUAGGGAUCGGACGAUGUUAUUAUUUGACUCGUUCGGCACCUUACGAGAAAUCAAAGUGCUUGGGCUCCAGGGGGAGUAUGGUCGCAAGGCUGAAACUUAAAGAAAUUGACGGAAGGGCACCACCAGGGGUAAAGUCCGCAGUUGUUCUGCCCCUAAUAGCAGCCGGGAAACCGGUAACGUGGGUCCUUGGCCGCGAGGCCGAAGAAUGCUAGUCGCCCCAUUAGCGGGCGGCAACACCCCCAAAUUGCGGGAAGUCCCUAAAGCCGACUGAUACCAAGCGGCCCCUCGAAAGAGGGCCGUGGCCGAGCUAGCAGCCCUGGGUAUGGUAAAAAGUCAGUCGGAUGAUACAAUGGGUGAUCCGCAGCCAAGCUCCUAACCGGCUCACGCCGUACGGAGAAGGUUCAGAGGCUUAACGGGAGUGGGUUCAGGCCUUCGCCUGGGCUUAAGAUAAAGUCCGUCCUAGCGUGAAAGCGUGAAGGAACCGUAAAAACGGGAGCCUGCGGCUUAAUUUGACUCAACACGGGGAAACUCACCAGGUUAACAUGUCUGGGCCUGGAAAAGUAUUACGCUAGUGCCAAACUCAUCCGCGUGGGGAAGCCCCCAAAGUCGGGCGCGGAGCGGUGCCCUAGGGCCCGUAGUUUGGUGCGACACCAGCUGGAACAGGGGACGCCUCACUGCGAGCAGGUCUCGCAGCGGCCGAUCCUGUGGCGAGCUCAGGUUGCGCUGAGCCGUCGCAACGCGCGGAAAGCGGUGGGCUGCAUCGGCAGCUUAAGGUACGUGCUAAUCCCACGGGAAACCGUGGCUGCUCUGAAUAGGUCCGACAACCGAAGCAGGGCAGGCACCGGGGGCUCUGCCCCGGGUGUGUGCGGUCACAUAGACCGAGUGCCAGACACAAUGAGGAUUGACAGAUUGAGAGCUCUUUCUUGAUUUUGUGGGUGGUGGUGCAUGGCCGUUCUUAGUUGGUGGAGUGAUUUGUCUGCUUAAUUGCGAUAACGAACGAGACCUUAACCUGCUAAAUAGCCCGUAUUGCUUUGGCAGUACGCCGGCUUCUUAGAGGGACUAUCGGCUCAAGCCGAUGGAAGUUUGAGGCAAUAACAGGUCUGUGAUGCCCUUAGAUGUUCUGGGCCGCACGCGCGCUACACUGACAGAGCCAGCGAGUACUCCCUUGGCCGAAAGGUCACGGGUAAAUGCAUUG
rnacentral:rRNA from 1 species